GAUGAACGCUGGCGGCGUGCUUAACACAUGCAAGUCGAACGGUGAAGGCGGAGCUUGCUCUGCUGGAUCAGUGGCGAACGGGUGAGUAACACGUGAGCAAUCUGCCCCUGACUCUGGGAUAAGCGCUGGAAACCGCGUCUAAUACUGGAUACGAGCUGCGAAGGCAUCUUCAGCAGCUGGAAAGAACUUCGGUCAGGGAUGAGCUCGCGGCCUAUCAGCUUGUUGGUGAGGUAACGGCUCACCAAGGCGUCGACGGGUAGCCGGCCUGAGAGGGUGACCGGCCACACUGGGACUGAGACACGGCCCAGACUCCUACGGGAGGCAGCAGUGGGGAAUAUUGCACAAUGGGCGAAAGCCUGAUGCAGCAACGCCGCGUGAGGGACGACGGCCUUCGGGUUGUAAACCUCUUUUAGCAGGGAAGAAGCGAAAGUGACGGUACCUGCAGAAAAAGCGCCGGCUAACUACGUG
rnacentral:rRNA from 1 species